UAAGAAGCCUUUGUUGGCCAAUGCCUUGCCUU
rnacentral:piRNA from 1 species